CAUGCAAGUCGAGCGGUAUAGAGAAGCUUGCUUCUCUUGAGAGCGGCGGACGGGUGAGUAAUGCCUAGGAAUCUGCCUAGUGGUGGGGGAUAACGUUCGGAAACGGACGCUAAUACCGCAUACGUCCUACGGGAGAAAGCGGGGGACCUUCGGGCCUCGCGCCAUUAGAUGAGCCUAGGUCGGAUUAGCUAGUUGGUGAGGUAAAGGCUCACCAAGGCGACGAUCCGUAACUGGUCUGAGAGGAUGAUCAGUCACACUGGAACUGAGACACGGUCCAGACUCCUACGGGAGGCAGCAGUGGGGAAUAUUGGACAAUGGGCGAAAGCCUGAUCCAGCCAUGCCGCGUGUGUGAAGAAGGUCUUCGGAUUGUAAAGCACUUUAAGUUGGGAGGAAGGGUAGUAACUUAAUACGUUGCUACUUUGACGUUACCGACAGAAUAAGCACCGGCUAAUUUCGUGCCAGCAGCCGCGGUAAUACGAAGGGCGCGAGCGUUAAUCGGAAUUACCGGGCGUACAGCGGCGCGGUAGUGGGUUCAGGAAGUUGGAGAGUGAAAGCCCCGGG
rnacentral:rRNA from 1 species